GAUUCCCCCAGUAGCGGCGAGCGAACGGGGAGGAGCCCAGAGCCUGAAUCAGCAUGUGUGUUAGUGGAAGCGUCUGGAAAGGCGCGCGAUACAGGGUGACAGCCCCGUACACAAAAGCGCAUGUGCUGUGAGCUCGAUGAGUAGGGCGGGACACGUGGUAUCCUGUCUGAAUAUGGGGGGACCAUCCUCCAAGGCUAAAUACUCCUGACUGACCGAUAGUGAACCAGUACCGUGAGGGAAAGGCGAAAAGAACCCCGGCGAGGGGAGUGAAAAAGAACCUGAAACCGUGUACGUACAAGCAGUGGGAGCACAGGUUUACCUGUGUGACUGCGUACCUUUUGUAUAAUGGGUCAGCGACUUAUAUUCUGUAGCAAGGUUAACCGAAUAGGGGAGCCGGAGGGAAACCGAGUCUUAAUUGGGCGUUAAGUUGCAGGGUAUAGACCCGAAACCCGGUGAUCUAGCCAUGGGCAGGUUGAAGGUUGGGUAACACUAACUGGAGGACCGAACCGACUAAUGUUGAAAAAUUAGCGGAUGACCUGUGGCUGGGGGUGAAAGGCCAAUCAAACCGGGAGAUAGCUGGUUCUCCCCGAAAGCUAUUUAGGUAGCGCCUCGUGAAUUCAUCUCCGGGGGUAGAGCACUGUUUCGGCUAGGGGGCCAUCCCGGCUUACCAACCCGAUGCAAACUGCGAAUACCGGAGAAUGUUAUCACGGGAGACACACGGCGGGUGCUAACGUCCGUCGUGAAGAGGGAAACAACCCAGACCGCCAGCUAAGGUCCCAAAGUCAUGGUUAAGUGGGAAACGAUGUGGGAAGGCCCAGACAGCCAGGAUGUUGGCUUAGAAGCAGCCAUCAUUUAAAGAAAGCGUAAUAGCUCACUGGUCGAGUCGGCCUGCGCGGAAGAUGUAACGGGGCUAAACCAU
rnacentral:rRNA from 1 species